UGGGGUCAGCUCCCGGAUGGGCCGCCAGCGCGAGGCCCCUUCGGCUUCAGGUGAACACAGGGGGCCGCUGCUCCCCAUCCGGAGCCAGCCAGUCACAAGCCGAGAAGGGUGUUGGGGACGCAGGGAGAUUCCGCGGCCAAGGCUGAGCGAGCAUGCGCUUGAAGACCGUUUGUGUGCGCGCGCGCGCGCGCCCACCCGCGGCUCCGUUCUGGGUGUCAGUCCUGCUCCAGAAGCGCGCAGGCGCUCAGCCGCCGGGGUCGCCCAGGGGCCGGGUGGCGGGACGCACUCACGUGAGUCCCGGGUAAAGACAGGAACUGACCUGGUGGCCAAGCAGAAGUGAAAGCAGUCUAGAAGCAUGGUGUUGCAGUGACUAGAGCCAGACCUAACCGCACUGCGGCUGGGGACUUUGGCUGCGUCCCUGUGCACGGUUCCUUGGAUCCUUCCCUCCUCGAAUCCUUCCCGGCGUCUCCAGCCUCCCCAAGACCUUUCUGUUUAUCCUAGGACGAAAGCCCCCUGUUGCUGUGAACUCCUACUCACCCCAAGGUAGGUCUCUCUCAAGUGAGCCCCUGACUCCCCAGACCCUCCUCUAUUCCUGGAUUUCCCAGCCGGGCCACCCCUGUGCACUGGCAAACCUCAAGCAGCACCCUGGCCUCUGCCCAAUGGGUACUCUGGUGGUACCCUGAGGGAGACAUCAGGCUCCCCUUCCUAAAGGCCCAUGUCCUGUCUUUGUGUUGUGUGAGAGAGAGAGAGACAGAGACACACCAGGGAUUGAACCCAGGGGUGCUUAACCACUGAGCCACAUCCCCAGCCCUUUUACUUUCUGAGUGUCUUGCUAAGUUUCUUGGUGCCUAAAUUGGUGAGGCUGGCCUGGAACUUGAGAUCCUCCUGCCUCAGCCUCCCUAGUUGCUGGGAUUACAGGCAUGCACCAUAAAACACUCAUCUAUGAUAAUCUGUUACAGCAGCAGUAGGAAACUGAUACAUGGCCUCUUCUUCCCAGGUGUGGUAAACACACUGCCCCAGGCACUGCCAUCUUUCCUGGCACCUCACUGUCCUGGAGAGGGCGUGCACUCAACGCUGAUCCCCACUGUGAGAUGGGUCUCAUUUCCACUGAACAGGGCUGGCUCUGUGGCCAUGUCAACCACUAGGAGGUGGCAGAUGAACCCACAUGGGUCAGCUCAGCCCCAAGACCCCAAGACUUCAGCUUAUGCUGCUGUGGUGGGUAGGAGCUCUGCAGGAACCCUAUGAAGUCAGCAUCUCACCUGGCUGCAGCCUCAGGAGACUCCCCAGGUGAGACCAGAAUUGGUAGGAUGAGCCCAGUCAGCCCCCAGCCAUGAGUGAAAAUAACACGGAAUCUUUUAAAGUCACUCAGAACUACACAGCAUGCGACCUCUGUGGUGACCGUUGGCACUUAGCUCCCACUCUGCCCUGGGAUGACUCUUGUGUGUUUCCCUGGCCCAGAGCACCCCAACUCCCACAUCUUUGUCAGGGGCCUCAGGAGGGGGAGGGAUUGUGAUGUUCCCCUUCCCCAGGACCCUGUCUGAACCCCACCUCUUAGAUCCCCUCCACCAGUCCCUGUGGCUCCAUGGCCUGCCCUCCACCCACCCUGGGGAUCCUGACGAACAGAUGGGACAAAAUUACAUUGAACUGGAAAGGGAGUGCCCAGCUGGGUGAUGUAGGUAGGCUUCCUGAAGGAAGAGGAACUUUCACUGCGUCUUACAGUGAGGGAGGCAGAGAAGCAGGAGGAAUGUUGAAGGGCAGCAGGCACCAUAUGGCCAGAUCUGCACCUCAGCCUGGGCUCUGGGACAGCACUGCCUGUUUGCCAAUGUGUGCACGGUCCAGGUGGCUGUCACCUCCUCUCAACCCAAAGCCCCUCACCAGUCCUGCCCCCGCAGAAGCCCAAGCAACCCCUAAGUCGGUCACUGAGUCCAGGGCCACCUCCUCACACUUCAUCCUGCCAGCCAGCAGGGCUGGGAACCCUCCCUCCUUUCCCUGUCUCCCACCCCCAGGCCCCUCCAGCUCCAUCGCCUCAAAAUGCAGCCUGGAUUGUCACCCUGGCUCAGAACCCUUCUGCAGUCCCACGCCUUGAGACCAGGCAGUUAUGGCUCCAGCCUAAGGCCUGGGGCCACUUGUCCAGCCAGCUUCUCAAGGCCACCCCAGACCCUCUAUGCACCCUAGUCCACCUCCGGGUACACUUCCAGAGCUGGGAGCUCUCUUCCUCAGGAAACCUCCCUCUGUGUGCCUCACCCAGCUGCCCCACCCCCACCCCACAUCACUGCUGGGUCCUGGAAUCCUGUCUGGGCCUUCAAAGGCAGGACCAAGGCUCCAGAGGUGCUGUCAGCCCCAGGGUGGGGCACCUGGCACCCAGGUGCCCCAGAACUUCCUCCUGACAGCGUAAGGUAGGCCUCCAUCUGCCGGCAGGACCCUCUGCCCCUCACCUUCCAGGUGGUGGAGGCUGGGGCAGGACCCCUCCCUGGCAGCUGCCACACCUCCCAGCAGCCCCAGGCAGGCAGUACUUUGAGGCCUGUUUUCUCCCUGGUGAGACACAAGGACACAGAGGUCUCCCCCAAAACCUCCCCACGGAGAAGCUCUGGAAAGCUGAGGUCCGAGAGCUCCUAGGAGCCGGGAGACCCCGAGGCUUGACUCUUCAAAGUCGCACUCUGCCAGAAGGGCGUGCUCCGGGCCAGGAAGUCGUAGAAGGCAUUAGUGGACUCAGCAGACCUGGGUGGCUGUGCGAGGAGCACAUCCUUGUCCACAUCCUCAGACACCAGCUCUGCCACCAUCUGCGUGAUGUCCUGCGGGCAACAUUGGUGUCAGGGGCUGUGUGGGCAGGGAGGCACAGGGACUGGGCAGAUGAGGCCAGGGACAGGGCAGCCUCCCCGCCCACCACACACCCUGUCUUGGGAGGGGGUGCCCAGCAUGGCCAGCCGCCGGCGCUCAUCAAUGCUGAUGCUCCAAUGGCGGCGUGGGCGCCUGUGCUCCUGUGGCUCACACACCUGUGGGGACAGGACAGGAUGGUGCGGGCACACCUGGGGCCUCCGCUCCCCUUCCCCUGCACACAGUGAGCUCACUUAGCCUCCCCGCUCCUAGUGGGCGGCGGCACGUGGCACCCCGGGGCACCUCCCAAGUUCCGCAGUGUCUGUCCCUAGGCUUACAGUGAGGGCUGCAAUGUUCAGAGCUAGAAACGGCCUCCAGGACCCUGGGCACAAUUACCACAGGGGCCCAGGCUGGGCCAGAGACGGUCAGUCGGCCUGUUGUGCACCUCUCAGAAACCCUGGACUCGAGAGACAGACCCCAUACAUCCCCCCAGUCCCCUCUAAGGUGAUACGCGGGGUGAGGUAGAGUGGUGCUGCUCGUGAAUGCACAGGAGGAGGAGAGGUACAGUGCAGGAAGGCCAUCCAUGUGCGCAGGAGACCGGAGGUGGUGACCAGCAAGAGGGCCAGGAAAAGGCCAGGCACGCCUGCAGGGAGAGGCCAGCAGCAUGUCCCCACCUUCCCAGUGGGCAGGCCGUCUGCCCCAUGAGUGGAGGGGCACCUUCUCACCUUCUGGAAAGGGGAGGGGUGCCACGCUGAAGACAGCAGGCAACCCAGCCCCGCAAAGCCCUACUCAGAAAAUCAAACCUCAACAACCCCGUGCCAGCCGCUCUGCGGUGGGCACAUGUCCAUGGAAUGAAAAGCAGGGACUGGACAGGUGUGUGCACAACUCCAUCCAUAGCAUUGUUUUCAGUAGUCGAAACAUGGAAACCCAAGUAUCCAUCAAGGGAUGUAAAAGAGACAAGGGGCCAACCACACAAGGGAACAUUAUUCAGACUCAAGAAACUAGGAAACUUGCUGGGCGUGGUGGCGCAUGCCUCAGCUACUUAGUAAGGCCCUCAGAAACUAGCAAGGCCUUAAGCAACUGAGGGAGACCCUCAGUCUCAAAAUAAAAAGGGCUGGGGAUGUGGCUCAGUGGUUAAGCACCCUGGGUUCAAUCCCAGAACCAAAAAAAAAAAAGAGAGAGGAGAGCCCCCAGCUCCAUUAUGCUAAGGCGAACCCUCCAGGGACAAGCUUCGCCAAGCACACAGCAUUUGCACAAGCACUGCUUUGGGAAACAGGGCCGGGCCUCCCAGGGCAAGGGACACUCAGAGAGGCAUCCCAGGAACCACCAAGCACAGGUCCCUACUGACACUGCCAUCCUGGGAAGCAGAUAGACCCAUGAGCAAGGGCAGGAAGGUAUGGAGAAGGGCCACUCAGAGGACAAGACUGGUUCUUCCACAUGAAACACUCCAUGGGAGGUAGGCUGGGGGUCCCUCUGUUUUUUUGUGGUGCUGGGGAUGGAACCCGAGGCAUCAGUGCAUUCAAGGCCAGCACUCUACCAGCUGAGCUAUGUCCCCAGCCCUGGUGUUUGUUUUGGUAGUAGGGACUGAACUUAGGGAUGCUUUACCACUGAGUUGCAUUCCAGUGUUUUUUUGUUUGUUUGAGAUGGGGUCUUGCUAAAUUGCUAAGGCUGACCUGGUACUUGUGAUCCUUCUGCCUUAGCCUCCUAAGCAGGGGGGCUGGGAUUACAGGUCUGCACCACUGAAUCUGGCUGUUGUUUCUAUUCUUAGCCCUGUUUCUGUAAUUGAAUUGUACACCUCCCCUCUAAUAUGUGGUCUCACAGUGCUUCCCCUAGAGUUUCUCUUCCUACCCUGAUGAUGUUACUCCCAGAAGGGGUAUAUUCUCACAAUAUGCUUGUGUGAAGUAGGCUGGCCUUCUGUGUUUCUUCCAGGAGCCUGAGAACAGCAGGCCCUAGGAGGAGCACCAAGAGGGGAAUGCAGAAGACACACAACCCUGCUGUUCAGGUCCACGAGCAGAAAACAAAAUGGAAGUUCACUAUGCAUCACUAGAAUUAUGGAGCUGCUUGUUAUAGAGCAUCAUUACAGCAAAUGCUGACUAAUGCAGGACUGAAAAUAAGAUACAGAAAACAUUUAUAAAAAAUGAGGAAGAUGGAGAACUAUUCCUGUUGGGCCAACAUACAACUAACAAACCUUGAAGAGAGAGAAAAUGAACUCACACACACAACACGCACACAUGUGCUUUUCCCAGAAACUAAAGGAAAAGGCCCCAGUCAGAAAGCCCCCACCCAGGGCAAUGAAAAUAAAUGCCUCCCCAGAGUACAUUCCAGAACUCUGACAGGCACGGAAGCUUUCAGGGAAGAAACGAAGCACAGGGCUGGGAGCACAGCCUAUGCAGCUCUUGCCUACGUGCUUCAGGCCCUGGGUUUGAUCCCCUCCACCACAAAACAAAAACAAACACAAACAGGGUAGAAAGAUCCGAAGUCCAAAAGUUCAGGGCAUCACACAGCAGCCCUAGAAACCAGAGGUGAUGGGGCACUUAAGAGUCCCGCAGGAAGAGCCUCUCCCACCAAACAUGCCACCAGUCAAGCACCAUCCGGAGCUCACCUGAGACCUUCAGCACCCUGUGAGCCCCUCUGGGGGAAGCUGCUGGGUGGUGUGCUCUAGGGUCAACAGGCAAACAGAGAAAGCAGGGCCAGGACAUGGGCUGCUGAGGAAGACAGAGGGUGACAGCCAGGGCCUGAGGAGGGUCACUGCCCAGCCUCUGUGAGAGGACCUGCAGAGAUGUGUUGUGAAUUUGGGAAAGGACUGAUCAUCAGUUCACAGAAAAUAGAAAAUAGGAGGCAGGAGGGAAAGAAGAGGGGAGAAACAAGAAGGGUGUGGACAAUGCUCACUAUCACUACAGGGCCAGUGGUGGCAGCUGACAGGUGUGAUCUGGGGGCAGAGGGCAGAAAAGUGUGGUGCUGGGAGUGGGUUGCUCGGGCCUUAGCUUCCCCGGCGGGAGAGCAACAGAACCCAAAGCUGAGAGCUGGAAAGGCAGCAGCCCAGGGUGCAGGCUCCUACAGCCCAGGGGACGGCUGCCCUACAGGCAGAGCCACCCGACAGACAGGACAAUCAGAGAACUCAUGUCUGCCGAAUGUAUGGGACAGUCACAAAGUCGGUCAUGAUGUAGGCCACAAGCAAAGCAGGUCCUCCCACACACUACAGAUGCCACAACAAAUCUGUGACUACGACACAGUAUAAUUAAUUAAAAAUUACUAAUAAGCCAGGCACAAUGGUGCAUGCCUGCAAUCCCAGUGACUUGGGAAGCUAAGGCAGCAGGUUACCAAGUUCAAGGCCGAUCGGGGCAACUUUGACCCUUUUCCAAAAUGAAAAAUUGAAAGGGCUGGAGGUGUAGCUCAGGGGUAGAGCACUCCUGCGUUCAAUCUCUGCAGAAAACAAACACAGGCCACUCCUAUUGACACAGACAUUCCAAAACACCCUUCUAAUUGACCCCAGAGUGAAAAAGAAAAUCAAGGUUGAGAUGUAAAUUUAUUAGAAAUGAACAAUGAGAAGAGGACACACCAAAACCCAUGAAGGGUGGCCAAAAAUGUCCUCUAAAGGCACUCUAUAUCUUUAAAUGCAUUAUUAGAAAAAAGUUCCGCAGUGGCCAAGCAAAUCACUUGAGAAGCUAGAAAAGGAACAAAAGAAAUUUACUGAAAGUUUAAAGAUGGAAUUACGGUAGAUUAGUGAAUAAGUUAAAAGAAAAAACAGUGGACAAUAAUCACAAAUGGAUUCUUUGAAAAGCCACAUGCUCACCAUCCCACGCACAGCCAUCUUUCCACUCAUGUUCAGGGUCCGUUCAGCUUCUUCUUUCAGAACUGCAUGUCAUCGCAGGUUUUACCCACUUUUCUAUUCAGUCUGGUUUGUUUGGGGGGCUUGUUUUCUUGUCGUGCUGGGAAUGAAACCUUCCCUAAGCAGAACCACACAGGUAGUCUGCCUUCCCCUGCUCGGGAAUAUCCAUGGGUCUGCACAGCGGUGUUGGUCCCUUUCACCAUCAUGUGAACCAAGGCACAAAUGUGGGCUUGUUUGAACCCAGGGGUACUUAACCACUGAGCUUGGCAAGUGCUCCAACACUGAGCUGCACCCUGAGUCCUCUGUUCGGUUUUCACGACAGUUUUCUGACAGCUUGCAAGCAUCCCUUCAUAGACACUUGACUGUUUAAAGAUUACAAGUAUUUCCUUCCAGAAUGUCAUUUAACAUUUUUAUGUCCUUGAUUGUGCCAUAAUUUAAAAAUCUGUUAGGCUUUUCCUCCAAGGAUUGUACAUCUGGCCUAAGAAAGGCAUUUGUUACUCUGGGAUUCUAAACACUUUGGCGUCUCCAGUGCUGCUAUGGUUUGGGUUAAAUGCUAUGUGUUUCAGAAGAAGUGGGGGUUCACUCUGCCAUGUUCUAGGUGGAUAGCCAACCAUCCCACUACCACUUAUUGAAAAGUAUUUCCUGCUGCUUUGAAAUUCCACGCAGAAAUUAAACCUCCAGAUUAAAAAGUGAUAUGGGUCACUUUUUCUUCUUUCAGUACUAAGGAUGGAUCCCAGGGCCUUGCACACGCUAGGCAAGCGCUCUACAACUGAGCCACCCUCCGGCCCACAAGUGUCACUUUGACACCCAUCUGUCCUAAAUUGGGCAGGUAUUUGCCACUUUCUGCCCCAAUACCACACAAUUUUAAUUGCUAGAGCUUAGAGGAGGCAAGGACUUUUGUUUCUGUUGCUCAGGCUGGGUGCCGUGGCACAUUCCUGUAAUCCCAGCGGCUCAGGAGGCUGAGACAGGAGGAUCACAAGUUCAAAGCCAGCCUCCACAAAAGCAAGGUGCUAAGUCACUCAGUGAGACCCUGUCUCUAAAUAAAAUACAGAAUGGGGCUCAGUGUCAAGUGCCCCUGAGUUCAAUUCCUGCCAAAAAAAUUGUUGCACGGUUUCUUUCUUUAUAAAGUAAAAAUUUUACACAUAUAUUUUAAGAAAUAUCUUAUUGUCAGUGAACUUUAUUUAUUUAUAUGCAGUGCUGAGAAUCAAACCCAGUACCUCACACAUGCUAGGCAAGUGCUCUACCACUGAGUCACAACGCCAGCCCUACAUGUAUUUUUUUAAAUUAGAUUUUAAUGAAUAUAUUACCAAUAUUACUUUUCCAUGUUUUUGCUCCGUCCUAUGGAGCAGGUAUCGGCACAAACAAAUUUGCUGAAUUUGACACAGAGUGUGCAGUAAACUGGCGGCUACUUACAGUCCAUCCCCCACCCUGGGCUGGAAUACUGCUGUUCUCCACACAUUCACGUGGGCGGCGCAGGAUCUGGUUAUUCCUAGUCCCCUCCACCCCUUAUUUUUUUUUUAAGUUGUCAAUGGACCUUUAUUUUAUUUAUUUUUAUGUGGUGCUGAGAUUCGAACCCAGGGCCUCACACAUACUAGGCAAGUGUUCUACCACUGAGCUACAACCCCAGCCCUCCCAGUCCCCUUGAUGAAGCCAUUCUUUCAACUGGAGCAUUCAGUCCACAUUCAUUUGCUAAACUGAAUGCCAGGUGAGUGGCUCUGUCCGCUUCUCACCUAAUGCUUUCUGUCCCUUUUGCCUGUUUGCGUUUCUUGGUUGGUGCCUCAUGCUUCCUUCUGCGACCACUGCAUGUGGUUUCUGUCCCAUCUUCCCUUCCCCUGUGGGGCCAGGGCUCUUUCUAUUCUUGGGUGCAGUCACAGUGUACAUGCAAAACCAAAGUCCAAUAUUCCCAAAUGGUGCAAGACCCAGAGGCCUUGUGUCCAAGCCACUGUGGUGGGUACCGUACCCCAAGCAGGCUCUGUGACUGACACCCAGUGAUUGUUUGAACCCAGGGGUACUUAACCACUGAGCUCGGUACUUAACCACUUAACCAUCGGUGCUCGUUUCGAUCUCCCCAAAGACUUGUGUUUCACUCUCAUUCCUGGUCUACUUCACGCCUUCUGAGAUCACUGUCUUCCUCUUUGAGGUCUGUCCUCAGAAUUGAUAUGAGAGUCUAUGGGGGGACUGGGGAUAUGGCUCAAGUACUAGUGAGCUCGCCUGGCAUGCAUGAGGCACUGGGUUCAAUCCUCAGCACCACAUAAAAAUAAAAUGGAGAUAUUAUGUCCACCUAAAGCUAAAAAAAAAAGAAAAAGAAAGAAAGAGAAAAAGAGUCUAUGGAGGAUGAAUUGCUUUUUGUUUAUCACUUUCAUUAUUUUAUUUAUUUUGUGGUGCUGGUGAUUGAACCCAGGCCCUCAUGCAUGCUAGGCAAAUAAAUACUUUACUACUGAGUUAAGUCCCAGCCCUUUAUCUGGCGGUACUGGGAAACAAACCCAAGAGUGUUCUACCACCAAGCUACACCCCUAGCCUAUUUAUUUAUUUGAGACAGGAUCUCCCUAAAUUGCUGAGGCUGGCCUUGAACUUGAGAUCCACUUGCCUCAGUCUCCUGAGUCACUGGAUCACAUGCAUGUCCAACAACUGUCCUAUAUUUAUCAUUUGAAGUCAAGUGAUAACUUGCCUUCUCUGUAGAAAACACCUAUGCCAGGCAGAAUUUUUUUCUUUUCUCUCGGCCUACAUGUGGUACCCUCUCUGUAACAAGCUUCCACAGACUUUUUCUUCUUCUUUUUUUUUUUUUUAGGUCCCACUGUGUGCCCCAAGCUGGCCUCAGACUCUCAAUUCCCUUGAGGGGUUCGGGUCACACAUCCUAUGGCUGCCGACUAAAGGUAGCUGUCAAGUCCCUCUGCUUCCUCUGCCUGCCUCUGAGAGACUUGUCUCUGGACCCUGCAGGACCACUGUGACGGCUCGGGCUUGGAACCUAACUUAGGCCACUGGGCUUUGCUGGGCCGUCCAGGACAAGGUCUGAUCACCACCGACCUCCAGAGCACAUCCAAGGACUUGCACAUGGAUCAGCCUCAUGUCGCCCCCUCCCAGGUUCAGGAGGGAGGACCAGCGUGAGAAAAGAUGCUGCAGAGAUGAUGGAGUGUGACUUCCAAGGUCACCUGCAGAGCCCUGGCUGCUUGCACUUGGCUCUCACUCCCUCUGGGGGAAGCCAGCCACAUGCUGGGAAGACACACAGCCUACUGUGUGGAGAUGUGUGGUCAGGAUCUGUGGCCUCUGCCAAUAUCCAACCCCGACCAAGUGAGGGAGUGCUGUGGGCACAGCCUUAGUCCAGCUUUCAGAGGGACUGUAGCUCAGACUGACAUCUUGACAACAACCUCCUGACAGACCACAUCAAGGCCACGCAGCUAAGCAGAGUUCCUGGCCUACAGAAUCCAAGGCAAAAUAUUGUUUCAAGCCACUAAGUUUUGGAGUUAGUGUUUAUGUAAGAAUGUAUAACUAAUAUGCCAGCAAAACACUAUGUGUACCUAGAGUAAAAUUUUC
rnacentral:lncRNA from 1 species